ensembl:lncRNA novel transcript
CUCUAGCUGCCCUGGGCACCCUGGAGUUCACACUUCUUUUUGAAGCGGACAACAGUGCCCUGCAUUGCACGGCUCAUCGUGCCAAGGGCCUCAAGCCAUUGGCCUCAGGCUCCGCGGAUGCCUAUGUCAAAGCCAAUCUGCUGCCAGGGGCCAGCAAGGCCAGCCAGCUUCGGACACACACCGUUCGGGGCACGAGGGUACCUGUCUGGGAGGAGACACUCACCUAUCACGGCUUCACCCGCCAGGAUGCUGAGUGCAAGACCCUUAGGCUGUGUGUGUGCGAGGACCCAUGGUACAGCGACAGUGGCAGGCACCUUCCCUGGGGGAGCUGCGGGUGCCCCUGAGGAAGCUGGUGCCAAACCGAGCCAGGAGCUUUGACAUCUGUCUGGAGAAGCGGAGGCUGGCCAAGAGGCCCAAGAGCCUGGACACAGCCUGUGGCAUGUCCCUCUAUGAGGAAUUCUUUUACUCAGGCCCACGGGAGGAGCUGGCCCAGAAGACGCUGCUGGUGUCUGUGUGGGACUAUGACCUAGGCACGGCUGAUGACUUCAUUGGCGGGGUGCAGCUGGGCAGCCAUGCCAGUGGGGAGCGCCUGCGGCACUGGCUUGAGUGCCUGGGCCACAGUGACCACCGCCUGAAGCUGUGGCACCCGCUGGACAGCAAGCCUGUCCAGCUCAGCGACUAGCCCAUGGGCCCUGCCUGCCGCCCCUCCACUACAGCUGCCUGAAACGUCCCCACAAAAAUGAUGGCGGCUGGGGCUGCCUUACCCUCAUGCCCAGCCCCAAGUCAGAGAGGUGUUUCCUCUCUCCCCGCUUUCACAUUCACCCCACCCCAAAUCAUGGAGCCGAAAUAAACAUCUCCUUCAAGCCA